UUUGACUAUAGAGUGUAUAUUUUAUAAGCUCCCGAAGUAAGAAGAUCUAAUAUUUAUGUUUUUAUUUAGAUAUAAGAUUCAUGUACAUAGUGUAGCAUAACUAUUAUAAAAAAAGUAAUUAGUGGUGAAAGGCUAUUCAAUUCUUACUGAUAUCUGGAUUAAAUCAAAAAAUAUUUAGUAUUAUAAGGACAUUUUUACAACACUAAGAUUGUAAAAUUUAAAGAGCUUGUAUGUUUCAACAGUUAGAUACAUUAUUAAUAUAAGUGUAUGAAUAGCUAUAAAAAAUAUCAUUACAGUAUGACUUUUACAUUAUAGAUUUAUAGGUUUAUUAAUUCUUUCUGUAGAAUUUUAAUAGUGUUUGAAUGAGUAUAUGUAGUAUGAGAUUAUAAGGAACUCGGCAAAUUUUUCCCUCAACUGUUUAUCAAAAACAUAGCUAGUUGUAUUACAUAAUUAGUAGUUCUCUGCCCGGUGAUGAUUUUUAACGGCCGCAGUACACUGACUGUGCAAAGGUAGCGUAAUAAUUUGGCCUUUAAAUGAGGUCGAGUAUGAAUGAGUGAAUGGGGGAAUGCUGUCUUAUAAUUUUUAUUUAAAAUUUACUUAAGGAAGUGAAAAUUCUUCUGGUUUAACUAAAAGACGAGAAGACCCUAAAAAUUUUUACUAAAGGGGCAAAUGAAUUCUUUUUAUGUUUUUGUUGGGGCAACAGGUUACUAAUAUAAAAGUAACUUAUAGAUAAUAUAUUAUUUUAACGAGUUUUACUAAUAAUAAUUAAAAUUACUUUAGGGAUAACAGCAUAAUUUUAUAAAAAAGAUUGUGACCUCGAUGUUGGAUUAGGUGUUAUUUAAGUUAACCAUUUAAAUAGCUGGUUCUGUUCGAACUUUAGUUACCU
rnacentral:rRNA from 1 species